AUACUGCCGAGGAACGAUCCAGUAGGUCACUCAUUUGGCAAGAGAGGGAAGGUUUGGUGCGACUUCCUGAAAUGUGGUGGCUGAACCCAAUCGUGAGGCUUUGAUGAUGAAUCAAACGGUUCCCGCCGUUAUCGGGUUUAAGUGGCGUAUGGCAAUAAAGGUGGUACCGCGGAAGACUUCUUUCGUCCUUGGC
rnacentral:ncRNA from 1 species